CACUCCAUCAACAAAACAGAAACCCCGUCCUCAUCCUCACAGUUCUUCUUCUCCAAGCUUCCUCGAUCAACCCCUUCAAAACCCAGCUGCUGCUGCCAUCAAGAUCUUCUUUUUUCUUCUUCAAACGCUCACUCUCCUUCAAUAAAUGGCGAAAGACACAAUGCCACGUCCAUGGUUUCUCGAUUUAGUACCUCUCAUGGUUGUUCUCCUCGCCGUAGCCCAUGUUCUUGCUUUGGCUUAUUGGAUUUACAGAUUAGCCACUGAGAAACAGCCCCAGAGAAAUAAGAGACAUUGAGGAGGUUUAAAAACAAGAAAUGUGGUGUGGAUUCUUGUUUAUGACAUGUAUUUGAAUAUAUGUUAGUUGUUUUCUAAAGGUAUUUGUUUUUAAAAUGCAGAAUACGAUUUCUUCCAGCAUCAAAUACAAGCUCGUGAUGGGCUGCAUUUGGCUACCACAUAGACUUUGUGCUUUUGUAUAUCGAAAGUGCUACAUAUUCCUUGACUUUAGGGUUGGUACUUCAUAUGACAUUGUUAAGUGCCCAGUUUUUGGUUGUGAUGUCUUAACCAUCAGAUUCCUUGAUAACUGUUUGCGUGAUGUUGAAUCAUGCAUUCCCUAUUGCUUACCUUUGUUUGAGUACAUGGUCAUCUUUAUUGAUACAGGUACUCAAAUCCUGCUGUUAACUGAACAAAUGGUUAAAUUUGAAGUCUUCAGCUGUUGUAAAGAGAGAUUUCUGCA